rnacentral:tRNA from 3 species
GCGGCUGUAGUUCAACGGUAGAACGCUCCCCUGUCACGGGAGAGGUAGUGGGAUCAACACCCAUCAGCCGCGCAA